AUGGGAGCGCACAUCGCCGGCGUCUCAUGGGUGCUGCUGCAGCAGUACGUCUCCACCGGUCCACCCCAAAUGUCUCGCAUGCGCUCCAGGUCCAAGCAUGCCAGCUUCACGUCGGCCACGAUGACUCGGAGCCCAGGCGGGCACGGCCGUUCAGGUCGGCGGGGUAGGUCGUUGAGACCAGCUUUUCUACUCUCGGGUGUAAGUACACCCGAGUUUGAAAAAAAACUUGAUCAAACAAUGUCAAAAAAAUCUGAAAUUUUGGGACAUGAAACUUCAUCAAAUGUUCAAGAUUUCUACAAAAAUUCAGCGAAAAAUAACAUCAGAGGAGCUCUCGGCAAAAAAAAGAAUGUUCUAAGUUUGUGCACUGUUUGA
rnacentral:rRNA from 1 species